GGGGAGACAAUAUUUAACAGUAAAUAUCUCACCUGCCUGCAGAAUUAGCAAUAUGCAAAUCUACCCGAAUAUGCAAAUGAACCAGUCUUGCAAUUCAGGUAGUGCAUAUUGCUGUUGCUACCAACAGAGGGCACUAGACCAGCUCCAUAGCCAAACCCACCUAGUUGGUAGCAAACCUCAGCAGUACAGGAGAGAAGGCAAUACAUUUCACAGUACACACACACACACACUAUAAACAAUUACAUUACACACACCCUGCACCUAUAAUGGGUACAGGGUGACUAAAACAUAAGAUAAAUAAAGCAGCCUACAUAAAUAGUCUGUCUGAAGGUAGAAUAGGGGCUUUAAAGGCAAAUACAUCAAAGAGUCAUAGUCACAGGGGAGGAGGCUGGCAAGCAGGCCUCUCCAG